GGAUGCGAGGGUGACUGGCUGUGACGUCCAUGCAGCUGGUCUGGCUGGCUGGACAGGUGGCCCCUUCCUACCUCACUGCCCCCUGUGCAUCCCUCCCAAAGCUCUGCGCUUGGUCCAAGAAGAUGAUCACCUCCAAUAGAGAAGGACCCUUUCCACAGUCAAGGGCAUUCAAGUAGCUGCACUGCCCUGCUAGAACCUUCCAACAAGCUCUCAAGAAUGGCUAUCAUCAAGAAAUCAAGAAUGUAGCUGGCCAUGGUGCUGCACGCGUGCAAUUCCAG
rnacentral:snRNA from 1 species